CGAAGAGAGGAUGUCGGAGCCGAAAUGGAGAGAGUUCGGCGCUUUCCCGGAAACUCGCGAUGAGAGCUGCGACAUC
rnacentral:sRNA from 1 species